CUCUCUGACUGAACUCCCCCAGGGCCGGAAGGCAGCAAGGGUAGGUCGGCUCUGGCGGGUGCGUGGGGGGCCCUUUGCGU
rnacentral:SRP_RNA from 1 species